AUUGAACGCUGGCGGCAGGCCUAACACAUGCAAGUCGAACGGUAACAGGAAGAAGCUUGCUUCUUUGCUGACGAGUGGCGGACGGGUGAGUAAUGUCUGGGAAACUGCCUGAUGGAGGGGGAUAACUACUGGAAACGGUAGCUAAUACCGCAUAACGUCGCAAGACCAAAGAGGGGGACCUUCGGGCCUCUUGCCAUCGGAUGUGCCCAGAUGGGAUUAGCUAGUAGGUGGGGUAACGGCUCACCUAGGCGACGAUCCCUAGCUGGUCUGAGAGGAUGACCAGCCACCAUGGAACUGAGACACGGUCCAGACUCCUACGGGAGGCAGCAGUGGGGAAUAUUGCACAAUGGGCGCAAGCCUGAUGCAGCCAUGCCGCGUGUAUGAAGAAGGCCUUCGGGUUGUAAAGUACUUUCAGCGGGGAGGAAGGGAGUAAAGUUAAUACCUUUACUCAUUGACGUUACCCGCAGAAGAAGCACCGGCUAACUCCGUG
rnacentral:rRNA from 1 species